GGGCAGCAUUACUUCUUCUCUGGGCUGCACCCAACUUGUUUUUUCUUGAUGGGAGCCAGUGUGUAAUAGCCCUUAGCCCACAGCGGGUAACAAUCUUGACAAGAAAUAGAAGAAAUAGUAGGAGCACAUCGAAGUGCUUUAAAUUAACCCGAGUCUCCAGGGUCAGACAAAUUACAUCCUUGGGGUACAGAAAAGAAAAAUUUAUAGCUGUGAUUAGAGAAAACCAUCAGUAAUCUCUGAAGAAUCCCAGAGAAUCAGGGAGGUGCCGUAUUUUUCCAAAGAAAGAAAAAGAUGAAUUCUGAAAAUUACUGGGUAGUGUCUAAGAGCAAUUUCUUACAAAAUUCUGGAAGGAAUUAUUAAACGGGUAACUUGUCAGCUCUUAGAAUGAGAAAUGGUGAUUAUUAGGAAUCAUGCUAAAUUAACUUCCUUUUUCUUCUUAUGUUUCUAAGAGUGGGAAGCCCAGGGAAGGCUGUAAGUCUGAUAGGUUUGAUUUUAGAUAGGUGUUUACAAAUCUCCUAAUGAUAUCCUUAUACACCGUAUGUAGAUAUUUGGUACAGAUAAUAGCUCAGUCAAAUGAAUUUGUGGUUGGUUGAAUGAUUAUACUUUCAGUUAAAUCACACAUAGUAUGAGGAAAAGCGUUGAUAGUAGGUCUCUGUACCAAUCAGGGUUCAAUUAUAGAACUCUUAGGAAUGAUAUGUAAUAAGGCAUUGAUCCUAGGGAUUUGACUUUAUACAACUGUGGGAUCAAAUUAAAUGUUUAUGUACUUUUGCUAGGUAUCAAGUCAGCACUGCAGGAAAUCAGGAAGAAAAGAUGGAUAGGAAGAAGGGCAAGGGCUGGAAUGUGUGCAGAGGAUGGUCUGGAUCUUGCUUCAGCCUCCAAAUUCCCAGUUCCUAUGAUGCAGGUAUCUGGCAGAAGAAGCUGAGGUCCAAACAUGCACCCGGCCUGGGGGCAGGAGAAGCUGGAGGAGCUGUGGCCCUGGCAGCUGCUUCAUCCAGUAAGGUCAGCCAGCAGAUUCAUAACCCAUCUGUAGGAGCCACAUAAGUACCUGGCCCAAGGCCACCAGGCUUCCAAGCUCAAAUAUGGCAGCUGGUGGGUCACUUCUGC
rnacentral:lncRNA from 1 species